GCGCUGGUCGUCUAGUGGUCAGGAUGUCGCGUUCCCAAUUCGGUCUAGCGUGGAAAACGCGGUCACGCGGGUUCGAACCCCGCCCGGCGCA